rnacentral:rRNA from 1 species
GACGAACGCUGGCGGCGUGCUUAACACAUGCAAGUCGAACGGAAAGGCCCUGCUUUUGUGGGGUGCUCGAGUGGCGAAUGGGUGAGUAACACGUGAGUAACCUGCCCUUGACUUUGGGAUAACUUCAGGAAACUGGGGCUAAUACCGGAUAGGAGCUCCUGCUGCAUGGAGGGGGUUGGAAAGUUUCGGCGGUUGGGGAUGGACUCGCGGCUUAUCAGCUUGUUGGUGGGGUAGUGGCUUACCAAGGCUUUGACGGGUAGCCGGCCUGAGAGGGUGACCGGCCACAUUGGGACUGAGAUACGGCCCAGACUCCUACGGGAGGCAGCAGUGGGGAAUAUUGCACAAUGGGCGGAAGCCUGAUGCAGCAACGCCGCGUGCGGGAUGACGGCCUUCGGGUUGUAAACCGCUUUCGCCUGUGACGAAGCGUGAGUGACGGUAAUGGGUAAAGAAGCACCGGCUAACUACGUG